AUGAGGCGGGGCCGUAAGCGUCGGACGCGCUCGCUCGCCUGCAAUCAAAGCGGACUCAGCGGCCGUCCAUGGCGGCUCGGGUCGAUGCAUGAGGACGAUGGGAGGAGCUCGCGAGGGCCGGCACCGGGAAUGGAGUGGAGGCGGGUGGAUCUGGCGAUUCCGCAGGGGCUGCGGCGACGAGCGGCUCCGUGGGCGGCGACCUGCAGGGUUCAAGCGACGGCUGCCAUGAAGGAUCUUCAAGACAGUAGGGACCAAUUGCACCCUUGCUUCUGUUUCUGUCCUAUGAACCAAUCUGAGAUGGCCACUAAGAAGCACUUGGCUGGAAGGGGAGGUGAUGUGCGCAAGGAUGUCUACUGGAACCUCAAGGAAAACGAAAAGAAGUGCAGGAGCAGGAGCUGGAGAUGCAGCCGCACAAGCAAGACCUUUGUUGAUGUGGCUGCCUUGAGGAAGCAUGCUCAUGUACAUGGCGAGAGGGGAUAUGCCGCUGAUGAACAAAUAGUGAUCCAGUUUGGUCGGAGUAGAUAUAAGUUUGGUCUCUGCUCGAGCUCCUGCUGCUGCUUGGAUUUUCCUUUUCCCCUCUCAUCCAACCCCGAUCAAAUCCUCGCGCACACACAACAACUCAACUCCACGGUCUGCACACAACAGCUCAACACCACGGUUUCAGAGGAGAAGAAUCUCACCUACUUGCUAGCUUCCCAAAUGCAGUGGCAUACGUAUGGUACAGUCGAAGGACGUGAUUGGCUGGAAAAAAAAAGACACCCUCACGAGUCACGAACCUGCCUCCCGAUCCCAUCUUCACCUCCAUCUCGCCGCCGCCUCGCCCCUCCCCGCGCCGCUGCCUCCUGCCACGCCUUGCCCCUCCCCGCGCUGCCGCGUCCUGCCACGCCCAGCCCGGCGCCGCCGCGCGCCGCCGCCUCCUACCCCGUCGGCGCGCCUACUCUUACCCCAAGUGCCCCCAUACCCGCGGCCUCCCACCGCCGGCAACAAUCGAUGAUGCGGCUGAUGACGGCUCCCCCUACCUACCACCGCUGGGAUUCCUCCCCGUUGCUUCCACCUCAACAAUGGUCGCGGUUGAGGCAUGAGGACGGCAGCAGCGGCAGUCAAAAUCUUCAUGAAGUUUUUCCGCUUACCCUCCCCCGGUCUGAUUUCUCUCCAAUCUUUGAAUCCCCUCAGUUUGAACUAAUGCCAUCAUUUGCUGGAGCCAUCAUCCCAAACAGUUUCACUGAUUCUCAGGGACCAAAAGACGUAGCUCUCUUAAUCCUGCAAAAGUUAGUCAUAAAGGUGUACUUGAUGACACAUAUGCCCUCUGUAUGGCUGACAAGCCUGAGCAUAUUUGAGAUGAUGGCUAUUGCUGCACGUGAAGAGUUGGUUUGA
rnacentral:rRNA from 1 species